UGCGGUGGGUCCGGUGUUGGUACGGUAAGACGACUGUUAAUCGUCCCGACUCAGGUUCGAUUCCUGCCACCGCAG
rnacentral:tRNA from 1 species